AUACUUAUCUGGCAGGGGAGACACUGUGAUCAUGAAGGUGGUUCCCCCAGAGCAAAGCUUGUCCCCUGCACUCCCGGGAGAGAAGAGAUUAUUUAAUUAUUUAAUGUACAGUGCACGUUGUUUGGGUGAUGGAUACUCUAA
rnacentral:snRNA from 1 species